rnacentral:rRNA from 1 species
GAUGAACGCUGGCGGCGUGCCUAAUACAUGCAAGUCGAGCGAACGGACGAGAAGCUUGCUUCUCUGAUGUUAGCGGCGGACGGGUGAGUAACACGUGGAUAACCUACCUAUAAGACUGGGAUAACUUCGGGAAACCGGCGCUAAUACCGGAUGAUAUUUUGAACCGCAUGGUUCAAAAGUGAAAGACGGUCUUGCUGUCACUUAUAGAUGGAUCCCGGCUGCAUUAGCUAGUUGGUAAGGUAACGGCUUACCAAGGCAACGAUGCAUAGCCGAACUGAGAGGGUGGUCGGCCACACUGGAACUGAAACACGGUCCAGACUCCUACGGGAGGCACCAGUAGCGAAUCUGCCGCAAUGGGCGGAAGCCUGACGGAGCAACGCCGCGUGAGUGAUGAAGGUCUUCGGAUCGUAAAACUCUGUUAUUAGGGAAGAACAUAUGUGUAAGUAACUGUGCACAGCUUGACGGUACCUAAUCAGAAAGCCACGGCUAACUACGUG